UCAAACAAGCCCACAAGCCCACAACUCCUUGCCGGAGCCGGCGACGGCGAACGGCGGCGCCGCGGUCUCUCCGCCGAGCACCCGGCCGCAGCUUCAACGGUUGGGGUCAAUACCAUUGAGGCAGGAGACCACUUCCUGUAUGGUCGGCCUCAAGCAUGCAUUAUAGUCAACACAUCUGCAGGCAAUUUCAAGAACCUUCAGCAUUUGCUCAUCAUGCUCCAUGCCUCGUAGACCUGGAUGAAGGACCUCGAUCUGCUUUCCUUCUGAUGUCAUCUCCUGCACCCACUUCACAAGUUCUUUCGAUGAAGACAAGGCCGUAACAGGUCGUCUUCCUGUGAGCAGCUCGAGCAGGACAACUCCAAAACUGUACAUAUCACCUCUCAACGUCGCAACCCAUCCUUGUGCAUACUCAGGAGGGAUGUAGCCCAGAGUGCCAACUAGCUCAGUUGUGACAUGAGUUUUGUUGGCAAGGACUAAUCUUGAGAGCCCAAAAUCUGCAACAUAAGCCUUGAAUUCUUUGUCAAGUAGGUUGUUACUGGACUUUAUGUCACGGUGGACAAUGUGAGGCUUGCAGAUAUCAUGGAUAUAAGAAAGGCCCCGGCUUGCUCCUUGUGCAAUUUUGAGCCGCAUCGGCCAAUCAAGAAUUGAGCUGGCAGCGUCGUCUCUGUUGUGAAGCCAAUCAUCCAGGCUUCCAUUCUCCAUGUAGGAGUAUACGAGGAGCCUUAAAUCUCCCUGUAUGCAGUAACCCCACAGCGGCACAAGAUUCUCAUGCUGCGCCAUAGAUAGUGCUUCAACCUCUGCUGUGAAUUCCCUUUCCAUGGGGCACAUUUCAUCAUUAAGCUUCUUGAUGGCCAACUUGGUCCCAUCAGGGCUUGCUUUUGGUUAUCAAACUUUUACCCUUGAACGAGGUGAGGAGAUAUACCAGAAGCGAAAGAAGAACAACUCCAAAGAACGCACCAAAUGCAAUCCCAAUAAUGGUUUUCUUUCUGGAUUGCUUUGUCAAGAUUGUUGGCGCUUCUGCUGAGCCACAACUGCGAAGUAAGAUAGGACCACACAACUUUGGAUUCCCUUCAAAGCUGUUAUUUGAGAAUGUACUAAGUUGGCCUCCAUUUGGAAUAGGCCCUUCCAGGUUAUUAUAAGAAAUAUUCAACACAGAGAGAAAGUGCAGGUGGUUCAAUGCUGUUGGGAUUGCACCUGUAAGAUGGUUGCUGGACAAGUCUAGCACUUGCAGAUUAGUUAAGUUGCAGAGUUGCAGUGGUAUGUCUCCUGAUAAGCUGUUGGAGCUGAAAUUGAGUACAGCGAGUGAUUUCAACUGAUCAAUCUCUUGGGGGAUCACACCAGUGAAGUUAUUGUUAGCGAGUUUCAACAAUUUUGGGAUA